AGAGUUUGAUCAUGGCUCAGAACGAACGCUGGCGGCGUGCUUAACACAUGCAAGUCGAGUGCGCGCCUGUAGCAAUACAGGUGGCGCACGGCGCACGGGUGCGUAACACGUGGAUAAUCUGCCCUCUGAUGGGGAAUAACUCGCCGAAAGGCGAGCUAAUUCCGCAUAAUAUUCCGAGAACUUCGGUUUUUGGACUGAAAGGCGUAAGUCGUCGGAGGAGGAGUCCGCGCACGAUUAGCUAGUUGGUAGGGUAAUGGCCUACCAAGGCUUUGAUCGUUAGCUGGUCUGAGAGGAUGGCCAGCCACACUGGAACUGAGACACGGUCCAGACUCCUACGGGAGGCAGCAGUGGGGAAUCUUGCACAAUGGGCGAAAGCCUGAUGCAGCGACGCCGCGUGGGGGAUGAAGCAUUUCGGUGUGUAAACCCCUUUCGAUCCGGACGAAAACCUCGCAAGAGGAUUGACGGUACGGAUAUAAGAAGCCCCGGCUAACUACGUGCCAGCAGCCGCGGUAAGACGUAGGGGGCCAGCGUUGUUCGGAAUUACUGGGUGUAAAGGGUUCGUAGGCGGUGCGGCAAGUUGGGAGUGAAAUCUCUGGGCUCAACCCAGAGGCUGCUUCCAAAACUGCUGUGCUUGAGUGUGAGAGAGGCUCGUGGAAUUGCAGGUGUAGCGGUGAAAUGCGUAGAUAUCUGCAGGAACACCCGUGGCGAAAGCGGCGAGCUGGAUCACUACUGACGCUGAGGAACGAAAGCUAGGGGAGCAAACAGGAUUAGAUACCCUAGUAGUCC
rnacentral:rRNA from 1 species